rnacentral:rRNA from 1 species
GAUGAACGCUAGCUACAGGCUUAACACAUGCAAGUCGAGGGACCGGCGCACGGGUGAGUAACACGUAUCCAACCUGCCCUUUACUCGGGGAUAGCCUUUCGACAGAAAGAUUAAUACCCGAUGUAAAGGAUGGGGAUGCGUUCCAUUAGGUUGUUGGUGAGGUAACGGCUCACCAAGCCUUCGAUGGAUAGGGGAUCUGAGAGGAAGGGCACCAACAUUGGAACUGAGACACGGUCCAAACUCCUACGGGAGGCAGCAGUGAGGAAGAUUGGGAAAUGGGCGUUAGCCUGAACCAGCCAAGUAGCGGGAAGGAUGAAGGCUUAAGGGUCGUAAACUUAUUUUAUAUAAGAAUAUGUAUUAUAUGAAUAAGGAUCGGCUAACUCCGUGCCAGCAGCCGCGGUAAUUC